GCCUACGGGACGCAGCAGUGAGGAAUAUUGGUCAAUGGGCGAGAGCCUGAACCAGCCAAGUCGCGUGAGGGAAGACGGUCCUAUGGAUUGUAAACCUCUUUUGCCGGGGAGCAAAAAGCGGUACGUGUACCGCAUCGAGAGUACCCGGAGAAAAAGCAUCGGCUAACUCCGUGCCAGCAGCCGCGGUAAUACGGAGGAUGCGAGCGUUAUCCGGAUUUAUUGGGUUUAAAGGGUGCGCUGGCGGCGCGUUAAGUCAGCGGUUAAAUUUCGGGG
rnacentral:rRNA from 1 species